AACGAACGCUGGCGGCAGGCUUAACACAUGCAAGUCGAACGCCCCGCAAGGGGAGUGGCAGACGGGUGAGUAACGCGUGGGAACGUGCCCUUCGCUUCGGAAUAGCCCCGGGAAACUGGGAGUAAUACCUAAUACGCCGUCUUGGGAAAGAUUUAUCGGAGAAGGAUCGGCCCGGGUUGGAUUAGCUAGUUGGCGGUGUAAUGGACCACCAAGGCUACGAUCCAUAGCUGGUCUGAGAGGAUGAUCAGCCACACUGGGACUGAGACACGGCCCAGACUCCUACGGGAGGCAGCAGUGGGGAAUCUUGGACAAUGGGCGCAAGCCUGAUCCAGCCAUGCCGCGUGAGUGAAGAAGGCCUUAGGGUUGUAAAACUCUUUCGCCGGAGAAGAUAAUGACGGUAUCCGGAGAAGAAGCCCCGGCUAACUUCGUGCCAGCCGCCGCCGUAACAC
rnacentral:rRNA from 1 species